rnacentral:rRNA from 1 species
CGCAGCCGCGGUAACACGUAGGGUGCGAGCGUUAAUCGGAAUUACUGGGCGUAAAGCGUGCGCAGGCGGUUAUAUAAGACAGAUGUGAAAUCCCCGGGCUCAACCUGGGUCCUGCAUUUGUGACUGUAUAGCUAGAGUACGGUAGAGGGGGAUGGAAUUCCGCGUGUAGCAGUGAAAUGCGUAGAUAUGCGGAGGAACACCGAUGGCGAAGGCAAUCCCCUGGACCUGUACUGACGCUCAGGUGCGAAAGCGUGGGGAGCAAACAGGAUUAGAUACCCGCGUAGUCCCUGUCUCUUAUACC